rnacentral:rRNA from 1 species
AUGGGUAGGGGAGCUUCCCAUACGGGUUGAAGCAUGACCGUAAGGACAUGUGGACAGUAUGGGAGUGAGAAGGUUGGCAUGAGUAGCGAGAUGUGGGUGAGAAUCCCACAGGCCGUAAACCCAAGGUGUCCAGGGGAAGGUUCGUCCGCCCUGGGUUAGUCGGGACCUAAGCUGAGGCCGAAAGGCGUAGGUGAUGGACAACAGGUUGAUAUUCCUGUACUACCGAUAACC